rfam:Gossypium hirsutum cultivar TM-1 chromosome 8, whole genome shotgun sequence
AAGGAUAUCCCAAAAUCUUAGCACUGAUGUAUUCAAUGAGUUUAUAGCCUUGUCCAAUAAGCCAAGGUAAUUAUUGAAAUUUCAUCGUGAUAGUGAUAGAUCAUUGCAAUUGUUAGUUUUCAACGAGGAAUUCAUAGUAAGCACGAGUCAGCAGCUCGCGUUGACUAUGUCCUUGCCCUU